rnacentral:rRNA from 1 species
CACGUAGGGCGCAAGCGUUGUCCGGAAUUAUUGGGCGUAAAGAGCGUGUAGGCGGUCCGGUAAGUCCGUUGUGAAAGUCAGGGGCUCAACCCUUGAAUGCCGGCGGAUACUGUCGGGCUAGAGUCCGGAAGAGGCGAGUGGAAUUCCCGGUGUAGCGGUGAAAUGCGCAGAUAUCGGGAGGAACACCUAUGGCGAAGGCAGCUCGCUGGGACGGUACUGACGCUGAGACGCGAAAGCGUGGGGAGCAAACAGG